rnacentral:rRNA from 1 species
ACGGAAGGCAGCAGUGGGGAAUAUUGCACAAUGGGGGAAACCCUGAUGCAGCGACGCCGCGUGAGUGAAGAAGUAUUUCGGUAUGUAAAGCUCUAUCAGCAGGGAAGAAAAUGACGGUACCUGACUAAGAAGCCCCGGCUAACUACGUGCCAGCAGCCGCGGUAAUACGUAGGGGGCAAGCGUUAUCCGGAUUUACUGGGUGUAAAGGGAGCGCAGACGGCAAGGCAAGUCUGAUGUGAAAGGUGGGGGCUCAACCCCCAAACUGCAUUGGAAACUGUCUGGCUAGAGUGCCGGAGAGGUAAGCGGAAUUCCUAGUGUAGCGGUGAAAUGCGUAGAUAUUAGGAGGAACACCAGUGGCGAAGGCGGCUUACUGGACGGUAACUGACGUUGAGGCUCGAAAGCGUGGGGAGCAAACAGGAUUAGAUACCCUGGUA